ACCAUUUCGUCUCAAUAAGUUAUGAGUGCCUUCUGCAACAGUUGGAUUUUGUGGUGGUUGGUCAUGUGCAUUAUUACCAUUGCCAUCCAUUGCUGCAGGCCUUUCAGGUUCUUGUCCUUGAGAAUUAACACCGUCAUGUGAACCAGCAGUACCACUAGUUUGGGAACCUUGAUGAACCUGACUUUCAGAAGUUGCUCCAAGAUGAGUGGGCCCUCUUGAAUUUGCAUCAACCAAGUUAUGUGAAGCUGCAGUAUUUGCUGAGGCUGCUUGUUGCAUUCGCUGCUGAGCUAAUGCUAUAUUUCUUCCAUAUUCAGAUUUAUUAGCAAAAUCACGAC
rnacentral:lncRNA from 1 species